GCAAUUUUUUCGCCGUCAUAUAGGAAUCCGAACUAUAUGAACCCGCGUUAUAGGGGGUCGACUGUUACAUAUUACGUAAUACCGUAUUUAUCGCGACAAGAAAUACAGUAAUUGCGAUAUUACAUAACACCAUAAUUAUUAUUAUUUCUCGUCACGAUAAUUAUAAGGUCCGUAAUCCUCAAAAAGGAUUUAAUCGACUAACUCUUCGCACAAUAAAUAGAUAAUGCUACUACUUAUAGAUAAUUAAAUUUAUAGUUAGUAAUCAUUCAUCAAAGUCUAUCGAAUUAUUAUUUCAUUAGUCAUAUUAUAUAAUUGUAUUUAUAAAUUUAAUUACAGGUGACCAGGAAUAUGGGAUUGAAAUGAAAUGAAAGUGUGCCUUAGUAUUAUUUUUGAGUUUACAAGCAUUACAGUAGUUUGAAAUAAGUUUGCGCUCGAACUAUUAUCUAAAAGACGACGAUUACAAAAUAUUCUGGAUACAUAAUAUCUAAAUGUAAUUUCUUCUAUGAAGAAAGCUUGUCUCCAUAAAUGGAUUUCAUAAAUAAAUAAUAUCUAUAACAUUGUAGCACUCUACAACUACUAGCGCCGUAUCUGUGAUUGAAUAAAAUAUUGUUUUCUAAA